UUGAAAACAAAUGGAUCUGAAAUAAUUUGUUUCAAUUUGAUCUGAUUUCAGUCAUUUUCGGUUCCUUUCAGUGUUAGUCACUUCAGAAAUCUGUCCACUUCCAGAUUUAACCAAUUCAACCGAAUGCGGACAAAAUGAGCUUUAGAACUAAACAAAUUGCACAAGUCUAGAAUAAACCCUUGUGUAUGGAUCAAGAGUAAAUAUAGGUCUUUCUGGUGUACGUGUUGUUAAUUGAGGACAGGUUUCUUCAUUCUAAACCCACUGAACUGUGUCUGAUAAUUUUUAGAGAUAAACUGCUCUAGCUUGUAGUGUGAGGUUAUUUGAAAGGCGUCUGGCUCUCCUGAGUCACUGUGCUUCACUAGAAGCACAGAAAUAGAUCCCUUUGUCCUGGUUCUCCAGGGAUUUGAUUUCCAGGUGAGUUGUCUUCCCUGACUCAGUCCUGGUCAUUAUAAACUUGUCUUUGUCAAUCCCUUUCUCAUUCUCAGGUGUUUGGCCUAGGAGACUCCAGGCUAUAAGCUCUAGUCCUUGACCAUUCCUCUGUAGAUACCAGUACAUAUAGUUGUGAUCUGUCGUCUGAGUGCAGUUCAUGUGUACCACGGAACCUAACUCCCUCAUGAUUGUUCUGGGCCACUGAUUAAUGGUGGAUGUCUGUGCCAGACCUGAAACAUAUGAACAGCAGGUUAUAUUAAAAAAUGUUGCAUUCUUACGAACAAAUGGCAAGGUGAGAUGAAUGUUUAAUGUGCAGACACUGGAUUUAGAGUCACAAAGCAUUUACUAAGGAUAAUUAUUUUCUAUAACAUAGAGUCGGAGAUAUUCACUAAACAGUAGGUUUUGUUGAGUCGAUAAUUAUCUUGGGCUUUUCAGUGGUUGGAGAGUUUCUG